AGCAGCCGCGGUAAUUCCAGCUCCAAUAGCGUAUAUUAAAGUUGUUGCAGUUAAAAAGCUCGUAGUUGAACUUCAGGCCUGGCUGGACGGUCCGCCUUCCGGGCGAGUACUGUCUGUGGUCGGGUCCUACCUUCUGGCGAAGCGUCAUGGCCUUAACCGGCCGUGGCGGGGAACCAGGACUUUUACUGUGAAAAAUUAGAGUGUUCAAAGCAGGCAAUUCGCUUGGAUACAUUAGCAUGGAAUAAUGGAAUAGGACAAUGGUUCUAUUUGUUGGUUUCUAGGACUGUUGUAAUGAUUAAUAGGGAUAGUUGGGGGCAUUAGUAUUCAAUUGUCAGAGGUGAAAUUCUUGGAUUUAUUGAAGACUAACUACUGCGAAAGCAUUUGCCAAGGAUGUUUUCAUUAAUCAAGAACGAAAGUUAGGGGAUCGAAGACGAUCAGAUACCGUCGUAGUCUUAACCAUAAACUAUGCCGACUAGGAAUCGGGCGAUGUUGACAAAAUGACGCGCUCGGCA
rnacentral:rRNA from 1 species